rnacentral:rRNA from 1 species
CGUGUAGGCGGCCCUGCAAGUCGGGUGUGAAAUCCCAUGGCUCAACCAUGGAAGUGCAUUCGAAACUGCAGGGCUAGAGUCCUGGAGAGGAAGGUGGAAUGCUUGGUGUAGAGGUGAAAUUCGUAGAUAUCAAGCGGAACACCGGUGGCGAGGGCGGCCUUCUGGACAGUGACUGACGCUGAGACGCGAAAGCGUGGGGAGCAAACA